rnacentral:rRNA from 1 species
CUACGUGCCAGCAGCCGCGGUAAUACGGAAGGUCCAGGCGUUAUCCGGAUUUAUUGGGUUUAAAGGGAGCGUAGGCUGGAGAUUAAGUGUGUUGUGAAAUGUAGACGCUCAACGUCUGAAUUGCAGCGCAUACUGGUUUCCUUGAGUACGCACAACGUUGGCGGAAUUCGUCGUGUAGCGGUGAAAUGCUUAGAUAUGACGAAGAACUCCGAUUGCGAAGGCAGCUGACGGGAGCGCAACUGACGCUGAAGCUCGAAGGUGCGGGUAUCGAACAGGAUUAGAUACCCUGGUAGUCCGCACAGUAAACGAUGGAUGCCCGCUGUUGGUACCUGGUAUCAGCGGCUAAGCGAAAGCAUUAAGCAUCCCACCUGGGGAGUACGCCGGCAACGGUGAAACUCAAAGGAAUUGACGGGGGCCCGCACAAGCGGAGGAACAUGUGGUUUAAUUCGAUGAUACGCGAGGAACCUUACCCGGGCUUGA